GACGAACGCUGGCGGCGUGCUUAACACAUGCAAGUCGAGCGGUAAGGCCCUUUCGGGGGUACACGAGCGGCGAACGGGUGAGUAACACGUGGGUGACCUGCCCUCAGCUCUGGGAUAAGCCUGGGAAACCGGGUCUAAUACUGGAUAUGACUCCAUGACGCAUGUUGUGGGGUGGAAAGCCUUGUGCGGCUGAGGAUGGGCCCGCGGCCUAUCAGCUUGUUGGUGGGGUGANGGCCUACCAAGGCGACGACGGGUAGCCGGCCUGGAGAGGGCGACCGGCCACACGUGGGACUGAGACACGGCCCAGACUCCGUACGGGAGGCAGCAGGUGGGGAAUCUUGCGCAAGUGGGACGAAAGCCUGACGCAGCGACGCCGCGUGA
rnacentral:rRNA from 1 species